rnacentral:rRNA from 1 species
UACGUAGGGGGCAAGCGUUGUCCGGAAUUAUUGGGCCUAAAGCAUCCGUAGCCGGUCCUACAAGUCUUCCGUUAAAUCCACCUGCUUAACAGAUGGGCUGCGGAAGAUACUAUAGAGCUAGGAGGCGGGAGAGGCAAGCGGUACUCGAUGGGUAGGGGUAAAAUCCGUUGAUCCAUUGAAGACCACCAGUGGCGAAGGCGGCUUGCCAGAACGCGCUCGACGGUGAGGGAUGAAAGCUGGGGGAGCAAACAGG